rnacentral:rRNA from 1 species
AUUGAACUCGCUGUGAAGAUGCAGUGUACCCGCGGCAAGACGGAAAGACCCCGUGAACCUUUACUAUAGCUUGACACUGAACAUUGAGCCUUGAUGUGUAGGAUAGGUGGGAGGCUUUGAAGUGUGGACGCCAGUCUGCAUGGAGCCGACCUUGAAAUACCACCCUUUAAUGUUUGAUGUUCUAACGUGGACCCGUUACCCGGGUUGCGGACAGUGUCUGGUGGGUAGUUUGACUGGGGCGGUCUCCUCCUAAAGAGUAACGGAGGAGCACGAAGGUUGGCUAAUCCUGGUCGGACAUCAGGAGGUUAGUGCAAUGGCAUAAGCCAGCUUGACUGCGAGCGUGACGGCGCGAGCAGGUGCGAAAGCAGGUCAUAGUGAUCCGGUGGUUCUGAAUGGAAGGGCCAUCGCUCAACGGAUAAAAGGUACUCCGGGGAUAACAGGCUGAUACCGCCCAAGAGUUCAUAUCGACGGCGGUGUUUGGCACCUCGAUGUCGGCUCAUCACAUCCUGGGGCUGAAGUAGGUCCCAAGGGUAUGGCUGUUCGCCAUUUAAAGUGGUACGCGAGCUGGGUUUAGAACGUCGUGAGACAGUUCGGUCCCUAUCUGCCGUGGGCGCUGGAGAACUGAGGGGGGCUGCUCCUAGUACGAGAGGACCGGAGUGGACGCAUCACUGGUGUUCGGGUUGUCAUGCCAAUGGCACUGCCCGGUAGCUAAAUGCGGAAGAGAUAAGUGCUGAAAGCAUCUAAGCACGAAACUUGCCCCGAGAUGAGUUCUCCCUGAGACUUUAGGUCUCCUGAAGGAACGUUGAAGACGACGACGUUGAUAGGCCGGGUGUGUAAGCGCAGCGAUGCGUUGAGCUAACCGGUACUAAUGAACCGUGAGGCUUAACCUUACAACGCCGAAG